rnacentral:rRNA from 1 species
UAGGGAAUCUUCCGCAAUGGGCGAAAGCCUGACGGAGCAACGCCGCGUGAGUGAUGAAGGUCUUCGGAUCGUAAAACUCUGUUAUUAGGGAAGAACAAAUGUGUAAGUAACUAUGCACGUCUUGACGGUACCUAAUCAGAAAGCCACGGCUAACUACGUGCCAGCAGCCGCGGUAAUACGUAGGUGGCAAGCGUUAUCCGGAAUUAUUGGGCGUAAAGCGCGCGUAGGCGGUUUUUUAAGUCGGAUGUGAAAGCCCACGGCUCAACCGUGGAGGGUCAUUGGAAACUGGAAAGCUUGAGUGCAGAAGAGGAAAGUGGAAUUCCAGGUGUAGCGGUGAAAUGCGCAGAGAUAUGGAGGAACACCAGUGGCGAAGGCGACUUUCUGGUCUGUAACUGACGCUGAUGUGCGAAAGCGUGGGGAUCAAACAGG